UACGAAGGGGGCUAGCGUUGUUCGGAAUUACUGGGCGUAAAGGGCGCGUAGGCGGUCCUGAUCGUCGGAUGUGAAAGGCCUGGGCUCAACCUGGGAACUGCAUCCGAUACGGCGGGACUGGAGUGUGGGAGAGGGUGGUGGAAUUCCCGGUGUAGUGGUGAAAUGCGUAGAGAUCGGGAGGAACACCCGUGGCGAAGGCGGCCACCUGGGCCGACCCUGACGCUGAGGCGCGAAGGCGUGGGGAGCGAACGGG
rnacentral:rRNA from 1 species